UACGUAGGGUGCGAGCGUUGUCCGGAAUUAUUGGGCGUAAAGGGCUCGUAGGCGGUUUGUCGCGUCGGGAGUGAAAACACACAGCUUAACUGUGUGCUUGCUUCCGAUACGGGCAGACUAGAGGUAUGCAGGGGAGAACGGAAUUCCUGGUGUAGCGGUGGAAUGCGCAGAUAUCAGGAGGAACACCGGUGGCGAAGGCGGUUCUCUGGGCAUUACCUGACGCUGAGGAGCGAAAGCAUGGGGAGCGAACAGG
rnacentral:rRNA from 1 species